rnacentral:rRNA from 1 species
GAUGAACGCUAGCGGCAGGCCUAAUACAUGCAAGUCGAACGGGAUCAGGGAGCUUGCACCCUGUGAGAGUGGCGCACGGGUGCGUAACACGUAUGCAACCUACCUUCAACUGGGGGAUAGCCUUCCGAAAGGAAGAUUAAUACCGCAUAACAUAAUUGAAUGGCAUCAUUUGAUUAUCAAACGUCAGGGUUGAAGAUGGGCAUGCGUCCGAUUAGCUAGUUGGUGUGGUAACGGCUCAACAAGGCCACGGUCGUUAGGGGAUCUGAGAGGAUGACGCACCACACUGGUACGGAGACACGUACCAGACACCUACGGGAGACAGCAGUACGGAAUAUUGGUCAAUGGACGCAAGUCUGAACCAGCCAUGCCGCGUGAAGGAAGACGGUCCUCUGGAUUGUAAACUGCUUUUGUGAGGGAAGAAACCCGCGGAUGCGUCCGGGGCUGACGGUACCUAAAGAAUAAGGAUCGGCUAACUCCGUGCCAGCCGCCGCGGUAAUAC